rnacentral:rRNA from 1 species
UACGAAGGGGGCUAGCGUUGUUCGGAAUCACUGGGCGUAAAGCGCACGUAGGCGGAUUGUUAAGUCGGGGGUGAAAUCCUGAGGCUCAACCUCAGAACUGCCUUCGAUACUGGCGAUCUUGAGUUCGGAAGAGGUUGGUGGAACAGCUAGUGUAGAGGUGAAAUUCGUAGAUAUUAGCUAGAACACCAGUGGCGAAGGCGGCCCAACUGGUCCGACACUGACGCUGAGGUGCGAAAGCGUGGGGAGCAAACAGGG